CAUGUGUUUAUGCUCGAGCAGAAAUCGCAAGCGUUUCCUAAGUUCAAGGCAUUCUGUGCUUGGUUGGAGAAUGUUCACGGUAAACGCAUUGGUUGUUUGUUUACUGAUCGAGGCGGGGAGUUCACUUCUCAGCAGUUUGAAGCUUUCCUGACUGAGAAGGGAAUCCAGCAUGACUUGUCAACGCCUAGAUCGCCAUGGAUGAAUGGGCUUGCGGAGCGAGCAAAUCAAACGUUGCUGCAAGGAAUGAAAACAUUGUUGCAUGAUGCCAAUCUCCCUGAUAAGUUUUGGGGGGAGGCUCUGUCGAAUUUUGUUUACACUUUUAAUCGCAGAUUGUCAUCACCUAUUGGUUGUACUCCCUAUGAGAAGAUGUUUGGUAAGAAACCCAACAUCAAACACAUGAGAAUCUUUGGUUCUGACAUGUGGGUACACACCCCACAGAGCAACAAGCUUGGGAAGCGUGGGGCACAUGGUUUGUUCAUGGGGUACGAAAAAGGUGCAUACAGGGUAUGGAUGACCAACUCUAAGUCCAUUAAGUUCACAAAGAGUGUUGAGUACAAUCCUAAGUGGGGGGAAAAUGUGGGAAUUUUCCAGAGUUACCCAGAGGAGGAUGAAGGUGAUGUCAAAGAAGCAGCUAAAGCUGAGGAAGCUGCUGAGGAUGAUGAUGACGAUGAUGAUCAGAGUUCGGAUUCCAGUUCAGUGGGCGGCGCUGCUGCUGGUGUCAGUGACAGUGAUGACACAGCAGACUACAAGAGCGCAAAGGCCUCAGUCAGACCAUCUGAUGCGUCUGACAAUGAACUGGAAGAACCACUGUUCACCAUUGGUCACUUUUCUCCUAAGAAGGAGGAGAUGAGUCCAGAAGACUUGCGUCUAGUACGCAGAUCUGAAAGAGCCACCAAGGGCAGACCUCCAAAGAGAUUUGCUGAUGAGUUUGCUAAGACAGCAACUGCUGUUCUUAGUAGCUCAGAGAAGGUGUGGGAACCUUCAAGCUUCAAAGAGGUUCAGGAGUUAACCUCUAAAGAUGCUGAGCCUUGGCUUAAUGCCAUGAAGGCUGAAGUUGAUUCCUUGAAUAGGAACCAAACUUGGGAACUGGUACCGGUAGUCCCAGGGAUGAGACUGGUUGGCAGCAAAUGGGUCUUCAAGGCCAAGACAGACCAGAAUGGCAAGGUUGUCAGACACAAAGCCAGAUUGGUUGCCAGAGGUUUUUCACAGGUACCAGGACAGGAUUACCACGAGACCUACUCACCCACAGUCAAAUAUGAGAGCAUUCGGCUGAUGCUCAAGAUAGCUGCGGAGGAGAAACUGCAUGUUUCCCAUCAUGACAUUAAUACAGCUUUUUUGUACGGGAUUUUGGAGGAGGAGCUGUUUAUGCUUCCACCUGAUGGGAUGCAGAUACAGAAGGGAAUGGUCUGUAAACUGCGGAAAUCCUUAUAUGGUCUCAAGCAGAGUGCCAGGUGUUGGAACACAAAACUCACUGAGACGUUGCUUUCUCUAGGUUUUCACCAGGGCAAAGCUGAUCCAUGUGUGUUUGUCAAGGAGGAGGGGCAAAACAAACUGUAUUGUUUAUGUUUUGUUGAUGAUCUUCUGAUGUUUUGGAAGAAUCAGGCUUUCUACCAAAGCACCCUAGCUCAGCUGAAGGAGCACUUUGACAUGAAGGAUCUUGGUGAGGUAUCCAACUAUCUUUCUCUGCAGGUGGAGAGGGACCAAGCAGGUAAUUUUCUGGUACACCAAACACAGAAAAUUGCUGAUGUAUUAACCAGGUUGAAUUUGGUUGAUGCAAACCCAGCAGACACACCGAUGGUGACAGGUUACCAGGUAGAUAGUACUGCUGAAGCGUUUUCUGACACUACGCUGUACAGAUGCAUUCUAGGCAAGUUGAAUUUCAUUGCUAGAUGCUCAAGACCUGACAUAGCUGUAAGCUGUAACCUGCUUAGCAGACAUGCCAACAAUCCUACUGUUCAGGAUUGGAAAGCUCUGAAGCGCAUAGCCCGCUAUUUGAAAGGGACUUUGCACUACAGGCUGAGGUUCACCAGUCAGAAGACUGGAGGUCUUGAAAUCUUUGCAGAUGCAAGUUUUGGAAGUGACACCACGGAUGGUACAAGCACUUCUGGAGUAUGCUACAUGUACAACCACUGCCUGUUUGACUGGUUGUGCAAGAAGCAGACGACAGUGAGCCUAAGUUCCUGUGAAGCAGAACUCAAUGCUCUGUCAUUUUCACUCAUGGAUUGUGAAUGGUUGAUGCAACUGUUUAAGGACAUCAGAGUUUCUGUGAAAUGUCCUGUACAAGUGUAUCAAGACAAUAGAUCGUGUUUGGCUUUGCUGAACUCAGAGAGUUGCAAGCAAAGGACCAAGUACUUGCAGAUUAAGCUACAUCGUGCAAGAGAGUGUAUUCAGAAAGGACUCAUUCAGGUGUCCUACAUGCCAGGAAAUGAAAUUCCUGCUGAUCUGUUGUCUAAGGUUGUUAACAGAGAACAACUUAAGGUUUACGUACAAAGGUUGCAAUUGGGUUGAACCACAGGUACUACAGGUUACACGGAAAGGGGGAGGAUGUUAGGAUAUUUCCGUUCCACCUUAAAAGGGAGCAGGCUUUGUGAGUCAGAGUCUGCGUAUUUCCUGUUCACAGGAUGUUUAUGUUUUCUGUUGCUUUCAUUUUCUCUCUGGUGUCGCAGACACUAAAUCAGCAGGCAGUCAUGUUUUUCUGUGUUCUGAUCAACGCUGAAUAAACUUGUAAAUAAUG
rnacentral:lncRNA from 1 species